rnacentral:misc_RNA from 1 species
ACUAUAAGUCUGAUUUUCAUACCGUGUCAAGCGAAAUAUAUACAAAAUACCGAUGUCUUCACAAAAUCCAUACGUAUGCCAAAUGUCCGACCUCAAAAAGCUGACGCCCUUGUAUGCCAUGGUGUUAAGCUAGAUGAAAGAGAGGCGUAUAUAUUAAAGUAUGAGCCCCACGCCUCAAAACAAGUAGCUCAUCACAUGAUGGUGUAUGGGUGUGGUCAUCCGGGCUCCACGGAGGACUCAUGGGAGUGUGGAGAAAUGGACGACAGGUCCGAUGACUCGGUAUGCCAAGAUGGCCAACGAGAAAUCGUGUACGCAUGGGCAAUGGACGCUGAUUCACGCGCACUUCCGGAAGGUGUUGGUUUCCGCGUGGGAGGAAGUACAAAAAUUAAAUACCUGGUCAUUCAGCUCCACUAUAAAGGUGCAUUUGAGGAUUCUAAAUUUGAUGACUCUGGAGUUACGUUGACCAUGACUUACACCCGCCAGCCUUUACAAGCCGGGUUCUACGUUUUGGGUAAUUACGGAUACAUACCACCCAUGAUACAGAAUUUUCAUAUGGAGUCGGUAUGUCAGUAUACCAACUAUACUAUUCACCCGAUAGGAUUCAGGACACAUUCCCAUAAUUUAGGUGUAGUGACGUCAGCAUACCGGAUACGCGAUGGCAGAUGGACGGAGAUCGGACGGAUGUCCCCCCAGCUUCCUCAGGCUUUUUAUGAUGUGUACGCCCCGGGGAUUGACAUUCGCAAAGGAGACUUGCUGGCGGCAAGAUGUACGAUGAGCAGUGACAGGACGUUCCCCACAAAGAUCGGGUAAGUUGUAUGUAUCGUACCAUACGAUGGGUAAGAUAUAAAAAUCAUACAUGAAGGUAGCUAUAAGUAAGUUGUGUUUAUUAUACGUUAAGAUCGUAUAAACCGUGUUUCAUUAAGACCGGAUAAGUUGUGUCUCGACGCUUAAAUCGGGUACAAUCAUACUUUAAGAUCGGGUACGUUUUGUCAGGCAUACGUUAAAACCAGGUUAUUCUAUAGUUACACGUUUAGAUGGGGUACCCCACGUGUUUUAUACUUGAAAUUCGAAUAUGUGUGGAAGACAAAUAUACAUGUAAAUUAUGGAAGAUUCACUACGUACAUGCAUGUAUAUGACUUAAAUAUCUAACAAUAUGGGUGUUCGAUCUACGAUUGUUCGAUCGAUUGUUGCGGGCGACACCCAAAUAUAUCCCGAUUUCAAUCGCAAUAAAAUGUCGAAGUUCGGGUAAAUCUAUUAUGAUGGGCUCUCCCAACAUUGAAAAUUUUGGAGAAGGUGUAAAUUAAACAUCAAACCGAGCAGAAUCUUUGUGAAUACAAUAAAACUUUAACCUGCCCACCCCCACCAAUUGCCUGUCACACGUGACCAUAGUCACAUUCCUUGAGUCGACAUCAGCAUACAGCAACAUGCAGUCAACUGGAAAUUCUGUAACCUUUCCGUACAUUGAAAUUAAAUAUAAUGUCAUUUUUAAAUUAGCGCCACCAAUAAAGACGAGAUGUGCAACUUUUACAUUCUCUACUCAACGGACAACACCAACACGCUAGACGUCCAAUACUGUUUCCGGGAUGCGCAAACGUUUCACUGGGCAGAUUACCUCACCUCUAUACCCCAGAAUGCCAGCAGCACUGACGGAUUACCAGCUUUCACACGAGAAGACCCGUAUGCUUGACUCACCUUGACACAAUAAACAUUAGAUAAUGCAUC